rnacentral:rRNA from 1 species
CGAUAGAGAAAGCUUGCUUUUUCAGGCGUCGACCGGCGCACGGGUGAGUAACGCGUAUCCAACCUGCCAUCACUUGGGGAUAACCUUGCGAAAGUAAGACUAAUACCCAAUGACGUCUCUAGAAGACAUCUGAAAGAGAUUUAAAGAUUUAUCGGUGAUGGAUGGGGAUGCGUCUGAUUAGCUUGUUGGCGGGUAACGGCCCACCAAGGCGACGAUCAGUAGGGGUUCUGAGAGGAAGGUCCCCCACAUUGGAACUGAGACACGGUCCAAACUCCUACGGGAGGCAGCAGUGAGGAAUAUUGGUCAAUGGACGAGAGUCUGAACCAGCCAAGUAGCGUGCAGGAUGACGGCCCUAUGGGUUGUAAACUGCUUUUAUAAGGGAAUAAAGUGAGUCUCGGUGAGACUUUUUGCAUGUACCUUAUGAAUAAGGACCGGCUAAUUCCGUG